rnacentral:snRNA from 3 species
AUACUUACCUGGCAGGGGAGAUACCAUGAUCACGAAGGUGGUUUUCCCAGGGCGAGGCUUAUCCAUUGCACUCCGGAUGUGCUGACCCCUGCGAUUUCCCCAGAUGUGGGAAACUCGACUGCAUAAUUUGUGGUAGUGAGGGACUGCAUUUGUGCUUUCCCCUA